CCUACGGGGGGCAGCAGUGAGGAAUAUUGGUCAAUGGACGAGAGUCUGAACCAGCCAAGUAGCGUGAAGGAUGACUGCCCUAUGGGUUGUAAACUUCUUUUAUAUGGGAAUAAAAUGUUCCACGUGUGGGAUUUUGUAUGUACCAUAUGAAUAAGGAUCGGCUAACUCCGUGCCAGCAGCCGCGGUAAUACGGAGGAUCCGAGCGUUAUCCGGAUUUAUUGGGUUUAAAGGGAGCGUAGGUGGAUUGUUAAGUCAGUUGUGAAAGUUUGCGGGUCAACCGUAAAAUUGCAGUUGAAACUGGCAGUCUUGAGUACAGUAGAGGUGGGCGGAAUUCGUGGUGUAGCGGUGAAAUGCUUAGAUAUCACGAAGAACUCCGAUUGCGAAGGCAGUUCACUGGACUGCAACUGACACUGAGGCUCGAAAGUGUGGGUAUCAAACAGGAUUAGAUACCCGAGUAGUC
rnacentral:rRNA from 1 species